AGCAGUCGCCGCGGUAAUACGGAGGGUGCAAGCGUUAAUCGGAAUUACUGGGCGUAAAGCGCACGCAGGCGGUCUGACAAGUCAGAUGUGAAAUCCCCGGGCUUAACCUGGGAACUGCAUUUGAAACUGUCAGGCUGGAGUCUUGUAGAGGGGGGUGGAAUUCCAGGUGUAGCGGUGAAAUGCGUAGAGAUCUGGAGGAAUACCGGUGGCGAAGGCGGCCCCCUGGACAAAGACUGACGCUCAGGUGCGAAAGCGUGGGGAGCAAACAGGAUUAGAUACCCCUGUAGUCCCUGUCUCUAAUAC
rnacentral:rRNA from 1 species